rnacentral:rRNA from 1 species
UACGUAGGGUGCAAGCGUUGUCCGGAAUUAUUGGGCGUAAAGAGCUCGUAGGCGGUUUGUCGCGUCUGCUGUGAAAACUCGGGGCUUAACCCCGGGCCUGCAGUGGGUACGGGCAGACUAGAGUGCGGUAGGGGAGACUGGAAUUCCUGGUGUAGCGGUGAAAUGCGCAGAUAUCAGGAGGAACACCGGUGGCGAAGGCGGUCUGCUGGGCCGUUGCUGACGCUGAGGCGCGACAGCGUGGGGAGCAAACAGG